rnacentral:rRNA from 1 species
CCUACGGGUGGCAGCAGUGGGGAAUAUUGCACAAUGGGGGAAACCCUGAUGCAGCGACGCCGCGUGAGUGAAGAAGUAUUUCGGUAUGUAAAGCUCUAUCAGCAGGGAAGAAAAUGUCUGUACCUGACUAAGAAGCCCCGGCUAACUACGUGCCAGCAGCCGCGGUAUUACGUAGGGGGCAAGCGUUCUCCGGAUAUACUGGGUGUAAAGGGAGCGUAAACGGUGAUGCAAGUCAGAAGUGAAAGCCCCGGGCUCAACUCCGGGUCUGCUUUUGAAACUGUGUGACUGGAGUGCAGGAGAGGUAAGCGGAAUUCCUGGUGUAGCGGUGAAAUGCGUAGAGAUCAGGAGGAACACCAGUGGCGAAGGCGGCUUACUGGACUGUAACUGACGUUGAGGCUCGAAAGCGUGGGGAGCAAACAGGAUUAGAUACCCGAGUAGUC